UCGGCCAAUUUCCUUUUCCUUCUUAUCACGUAAAUUGCGCCCAAGAUCAGCACCGAUACAACGAAAAGAACCAUCAGUGGUAACCCGAUAGUCAUUACUUUCGAUGUCUCCUUACCGAUCUGAGGAAGCUUAGGAAGUCGGGACAGGUCAAGUGCCUGAACCUCUCCAUUCACACUGAAGCUCCAACCCAGAACAUAGUGAGAAGCUACGACCGAAUCAGCCGAUGCUGAGAAGCCCACAUACAUGUUCUCGUUGAUGAUUGGAGAGAGAUCCCGUCGAAGAGACAGAAGGGGAGUCAUCGGUUUUUGCACAUUGAUCGGAGCCAAUGUGACAUUGAUCAGUUUGUCCGCACCAUCAUAGUCCACCCAAACUUGCAUUUCUCGACCGCUGAUUAGGGACAAGUUGUUGAACUCCCCAUAAUCUUGAUAAUACCCGGCCGGAAAUUCCAUCACUGACGGCAGCCCAUUCAAGUCGAUCCCAAUGUGAUUAUCGUUGAUUUCAUGGAACUCGGGGCUGAGGAUCGUGUCGAGUUCUACCCCGAACACAUGAUUGCUAGACUUGCCAUUGUUGGUUUCAUUGAACAUGCCGAGAUAUCGGCCCGGCAGGGACCCGGGGAGGCCUAUCUGGGGUGCGACAACAAAGGCAAAGCCGUUGACUCUCACACUCGCAUACGGAGGUCCAAACGCAAAGACGAACGUGGUGGAGAAGGAUUUGACGGUGCCGUUCGGCAAGUUCUUGAACUGGACCGGGUAGGGAUGGAAGGCGUAGCCCUGCUGCUCCUGAGUGGUGUAGUUGUUCAGCUGCAGGAGGCCAUUGGAGGUGAUCCCGGCGAUCCCGUCGAGCCUCAGACCGGCCGAUUGGAAACCUCUGUACAGGAAACCGGUCGCUUGAGCGUAAGUCAAAAUUGCUAGCAGAGAGACCAGAAAAAAAAUCUCGACGGACAUGGCUCAAACUCAAAGCCCGCUUAGCAAUUAGGUGAAGAAUGAUGCGGAUUACCAAGGCUAUGAAGAAUCCAAAAGAAUCUUCAUCUGACGGCAUCAAAUGAAUGUCGCAAAUUUCAAAAAUGGCUGCUCUACGUGAGACGCAUUAUUCAAUGUCUUGGACUUUUUCAUGGGCGAAUGCAACAGUCCCUGUUCAUAAGAAACAAAUCCGAGUCGGAGAAUGACUUUUUUGUCGAAAUUAAGUCUGGUGAGAGAGAUUGAAUGAACAAGGGCGGGCUAAAAUCAAAAGCCCCUCAAUUUUCUUCCGAUGAGAAAAACAAAAGUUCAUCGUGCCACGCGUAACACGAAGUGUCCACGAAAUUGUUUGAGGAAGGACAAAAGGCCACGAGUCCACGACAAAACGACAAAAAAAAAAAAAAAGAAGGAGAAAGAGAGAGAAAUUUGGAUAAAUACGAGUGACAAAAAGAAAAAAAAAACAGAGAAAAGAAAAGAAGGGCCAUGACUGUCUAACACCAUUUUUGAAAAGGUAUAAUAAAAGAACUUUCAUAAAGGAACCCAGUCCUACUGUUUAAAUAAGAGAAAAUAAUACAAAUGAUCCAUAAAUUUUGACCAAAUAUGCAAUAUAAUUCUUGAACUUUAGCCUAAUAAUCAAUGUGGUCUAUGAAAUUUUGAUUUAUUCAACGUGACUCCUGAACUAUUGGUACGUGUUUAAUGUAGUUCUCAAAUCAUAUGAAAAAAAAGUGCUUGUGAGAAUAGAAGUUUAUGUCAUAUAUAUCUUUCCAGACAUGGUUUCUUUUACUAAAUUAGAUCAAAUUUCUAGCAGCAAGAGAAAUAUUAGAGGAUAUGUUAUAGUAGCUUGAUUCGUCAAAUUCUUUAGUAAUUUCUUUUUGCCAACUUUUUUCACGUUUUACUUGUUUUUAAUUGGUUAGUUUUUUCAUGUAUACUAUUUUUCAUAUUGCAAGGAAAAAAUUGCUAAGAAUUAGAGUAUAAGUCGAGUUGGGCAGGGGUUACGUCCAUGUUAGAUCAGAUAUGAGUUGCUUAAUGAUAUUACAUAUUAAUAGGUCAAUAUGGAUUAGAUAAUUCAACUUACAUUGAACUUAUUUUGGACUAAUCUAAAUCCGACUUGACCCACUCGUUUGACGGAUCUAGUUAUGCUAUGGCUCUUCUUCAUAAAUGGGGCAACUCUUUGAUGUUACAUCCUUCCGUUAGAUGGAAAUACUACUAAUCCUUUCUUUUAUUAAGGCUCUCAUGCCUUUUAAACCGGUGAAGUCACGCCUUGAGAGGAGUAUCUAAUAUGAAUAGCAGACAAGGAAGCUUUAACCUCUUUUUCUCUCAUUCGGCACCCCAAACAUUCCAAUCGCUAAUCCACAUGAAAAAAUUCAGUUUGAAACCUUUUACCUCGAUGCAUUAAAGCCCGAGAUUCAUGAGAUGCUAUAGAAGGUACUUUACCGGUAAAAAAAAUCUUCAUCCAGCAAUACAUGUAGCAACUACAACGCUAGAUGUGGUCGGUCUCAGAUUGUUAUAAUGCGAGUAGUAUUGGAUUCACAUGUGUCAGGUGCAUGCCGCUCUACCUCCCCAUUAAUCAAAUCAAUUGCAUCAAAACGAUUUUGCAUCCUUUACAUUUAAAAUCAUUGCUUCUUAUUUACCAGUUAAAACCCUAUACUUCAUACGUUGAAUUUAUUGUCAAACGUAAAAAUUACACUCAGAAAUAAGUUGGCACUGUUAUUUCAUUUUCACAUUUUUGCUUUUCUUUGGAUAUACCUGUACCACCAUUUUAAUUCCCAACCAUCCUAACUCACAACAUCUUAAUCCUCAGCAGCUUUCCUCCCUUCCCUAUGUUCGUAGCCGCCACAAGCCCUGUUGCGUGCCCAGCCAAAGGAACUCACGGCUCCCUCCACCACUAUGUUAGUGCCGCCACUAACUUUUGGCCCCUCCUCUACCUCUCAGCAACGCGAAAACUCGGCGAAACCCAACCCAUGAAACCUUAUAAUCAAGACAAGAGGUCUUGAAGGACCUGGAGUCCAAGUUAUCCGACCCCAAUCGGGGUUGUGGGUGUGAGAGAGACGAGGAGGAGGAGAUGACGGGGAAGGGGGGUAACGACGACCAUCGUCAUCGGCACGGAUUGCAGUCCUCAUGGGAAAAGAUAUAGGAAGGAGUGAUGAAUUUGCCUCCCGUAAGAGUACCAUUUGAGUGAAGGUCGAAGAGGGUUUUUGGUAAUUAGAAAAGAACAUGUUCAUUGAACAUUAAUUUUCUUUUCUUUUUUCGUUUUUGGCUAAAAGAAGCAAUUGGCAUAUCAAAAUCAUAUUCAGUUAAUAAAACCCCGACUGUGUAUCUUCUGAAUUUGACAACUUGAUUUAAUUUAUAAAACAAAAAAAAACAAAAAUUGUAACAUGUCGACCCAAAAAAACAUAUUUGAAAUGAUCGGGAUGCUCCUCUUGUUUCCUUCUUCUUCUUCUUUUCCUUUUUAAAUUUUCGCUUUGUGAGGGGGUAAAAUAAAGAAAAUGAAUUUUGCUAGAAACUUUAUUAAAUCGGUCUCACGACGUACAUUCAUUCUCAUGUAAAGACAGGAGUCCAUCUUCAACUAAGUUUUAGUCUGGACGUCUGCGUGGGAGCCUGACUUUGACAUUGACCAGCAAAGGAUUCAAGGAAUCGAUCAACCGUGUCUUGGCUCUGUACAAUCAACCAAUAAGGCUAAUCUUUUUUACCAGAUCCACUAGUUAGGUCCUUCUUCUACGGCAGUGCCCCACCGGGCCCAUUGCCAUGUGAAGGUAAAACCAUCCCUUUCCUUCCCUUGUUCGUUAAUGCACCCUAAACGAAAACACCCAUUCAUCCUCUAAUUCUUAGUAUUUUAUAUCGCAGAUAAUAACACAAAUAAUCCAUAAAUUUUGACCAAAUAUGUAAUAUAGUCCUUGAACUUUUAAUUUGUUCAUUUUGGUUCCCUGAACUUUUCACACAAAUUAAAUAUAGUUAUUAAAUUAUAUAAAAAUAUUCAAUAUAGUCCUUUCAUUAAUUCAAGAUCAAGAGUAACAUUGAACAUUUUCAUAUAGCCUAAAGACUAAAUUGAACAUGUUUCAAAAGUUUAGAGACUAAAUUACAUAUUUGGCUAAAAUUCAUUAACCAUAUUGAACAAGUUAAAAGGUCAAAAAUCACAUUACAUAUUAAGUUAAGUUUCGGAGAUCAAUUUGUGUUAUUUUCUCAUUUGCCAUCCUUGACUCUGAGACCAUCUUAAUCUAUCUAUUCAGCUUUCAGGGGGAGGAAGUGGGUCAUAAGCAUAAUGUGCCAUGAGAAAGUUUACUGUUCACUUGCUUCAAGCCAGUCAAAUUCGAAGAGAAUAUUUGAAGACAUUUAGAAAUCAGGGGACCACUGAACUGAUUAGGAUACAUGCCCACGUGCACCUAGAAAAUUCUACCCCCUAUCACACGUCUCUCUCUUUUCUUCUUCUCUCUAUACGGUCGUUUCCUUCCUCCACCCCUUCGCCUCCAUUCUUGAUCUGCAACUUGAAACCAUGGCCACCACCCCACACACAAUCUCUCUCUUUCCCCACCAAAAGAACGAAGAAGAAGAAACUGAGAGGGAGUAAAGGAAAAACAGAGGGGGAGGAAGAAAAAAAUUGACGUUUUUCCAUGUGGCGCGAUUAGGUCUGUAGAGGAAUAAUAAGGAACACCACUCGGCGAACGAAGUCCGGAAAGCAGCAGCCGAACAAGGCUGCCGCGCCAGCAGCUAAUUUGUGCCAUUGUAAAAAUAAGAUCGUGCAGUAGGCGAUACUUACACCGACUAGUACCAGAAUGACUCACGGAGCCUGUAGAUUUUAGAUCUGCACAUUAUCUCGGUUUACCAUGAGGUAAGGAAGAAAAUCAGGAAACUAAACCAGGAGUCUCAUCGCCCACCUGAGAGAAGCGAUUCUGCAACAGAAGAUGAGAACGCCAAAUUGUCGAAACCUUCACGAUGAGCAACUGUUGACCCGGCAGACGAAAUGCCGACGGACGAUGAUUCAGGCAUCGGAAGAUCGCCCUCCAAGUACUGCAAUACUUGACGCAUGCUUGGCCUCAUCAACGGAUUGGCGUGGGAACACAUCAACCCGAGUUUCAGCACCAACUCCAUCUCUUCUUCCACAAACUCCAACCCCAAUUUCGGAUCUCUUGCCUCGAGAAUUUCACCUCUGUCCCAGCGAGAAAAUACCCAGUCCACUAAGAUCACGUCCUCCGUGUGCCCAUGCUUUAUCGGCCUUCUCCCGCAGGCGACCUCGAGCAAAAACACUCCGAACGCAAACACGUCGGUGCUCGUAGUGGCCUUGCCAGUACGCAUGUGCUCGGGGGCCAGAUAACCGAACGUUCCCACGACAUGAGUCGUUUGAGGGUCGGUUCCAUGGUCAUAUAGUCUCGCAAGCCCAAAAUCUCCGAGUCUUCCAUUAAAUUCGGCGUCUAGCAAGAUGUUACUUGCCUUUAUAUCCCUGUGGAUCACCACUUGCUCCCACCCUUUAUGCAGAUAAAGCAGCCCUGAUGCCACUCCUUUAAUCACCCUUAAUCUUUGCAUCCAAUUGAGGGUGACCUUUGGUUGGUUAUAGAGGUACUUGUCGAGGCUCCCAUUGGGCAUGUGGUCAUAAACCAAGAGCAACUCCCUUUUCCGGCGGCAGUAACCAAGGAGCGCCACCAAGUUGCGAUGACGGAGCCGACCAAUGCUAAUGAUCUCUGCUACAAAUUCUCUCAUGCCUUGUCUCGAUUCAUGGGAGACCCUCUUCACCGCAAUCUCUAUAUUCGAUGUGGGUAAGAUUCCUCUAUAGACCUGGCCGAACCCGCCAGCCCCUAAUAACUCUUGGUCCCGGAAUCCUUUCGUUGCAGUGUAAAGAUCUUUGUACUUGAACCGGUGCGGGCCGUAGUCCCUCUCCCAAUCUUCGAGGACCUCAGCAAAUUUCCUUUUCCUUCUGAUCACAUAAACGGCGCCCAAGAUCAGCAUCGAUACAACCAAAAGAACCAUCAGCGGUAACACAAUAGUCAGUACUUUCAACGUCUCCUCUUUCUUUCUCCCUGGCGACGAUUCUGCUGUGGAACAAAAAGAGAGAGCAUUUCAUCAUAUGGUGCUUGGUGGACGAGGGCGAGAGAUGGCGGGGACGAGCUACUGUGAUGGGACUCGAUUUUGCAACAGAGGGGAGAGACGAGAUAGAGGCAGUGCGGCCAAGAAGACGAAGAAACAGAGAGAGUAAAAGGAAAAACGGGUGACGUGUGGAAUUAUGUGUUGUGAUAAGGUCUACAGAAAAAUAAUAAGGAGCACCAAACGGUGACCGACUGCUAAUUUGAACCAUAUAAAGAAUAAGAGCGUGUAUUUUAGCGAUACUUGAACCGAUCUCAGCUUAAUAGUACUACUAAUUGAUUUAUGAUAUGAAUGCCUAUAAUGUCGUUUGCAUGAAAGAAAAUACCAAACUAUAAGAGGUGUCGACACAAUUUUAUAAGGAUUUGAUCCCAAAAAAAAAAAAACUUUAUAAGGAAAGUAAUAAUUUUGGACUCGCCUGAUUAACAUAGCGAACAUUCCACUUUAUAGAACUACUCUAGGAUGUGCAAUUAACACCACGGUCGACUAAGACUAGAAGUUGAGUGAAUGGGUCAUAUUCUUAAUUGGUCAUAACAGUGAACGAUGAUAAAACCCUCCAACUAACCUCUCUGGCAGCCGGUGCCGGCCAAGAACCCGUCGCCUAGGAACCCGUCCCUGCACUUGCACCGGAACCCAUUUCCGCCGCCGUUGGGCAGCCCUGAGAGCCGAACGCAGUCCGCAUCCCGGGAGCACUCACACUCGUCGCCAUUCACCCACCACGCCAGCUGUAACAUCUGGACGCCCAGCGACACCGACACGUUGUUCAGCGCCUCUGCCGACAUCGACGACAGAAAGAACUUGCAGCCAAGGGCGGAGAGCCUCGAGCGGUUGAGAAAUUUGAUGCUGUAGUUGUUCGCCUCCUCGGAGUAGCAGCUCAUACCGGUGUUGGCCAUGUUUUUAGUUUCGCAGAGGGACUGGUAUUGGGCCUGGAUGACCUGCGUAUUGGGCAAAUUGCAUGGGGAGAUCUGCGUGCAAUUGUUGAGGAGGAUGGAGUUCUUCCCAAUCGGGGCAUAGUUGCGGCCGUAGAGAUUGGCUAUGGCUUCGAACGAGCGGUUGCACUGGGCCUCAAUGGUGACGGUGACGGUUUCUGAGGACGCGGACUGCACCCGGAACUUCCCGAUGAGGGCGUCCCCAUCAUCGGUGCAGUUGAGCUGGAUUGGGCAGCCCGGUGAGAACCCGAACGGGUACGUCAGGUUCUGCUUCUCAGGCUUGCCAUUGUGACAGAUCUGGCUGCAGGGUGGGGGGAUGGCUUUACGCGCUCCAACCGUGAGGAUCGGCAAGACCAUGCCAGCCAAGAGGAGGAGCAUGGACAGAGCGGUCUUCGGCAUCAUUGGGCACAUCGAUCCGACUUCGUCGCAGCCUCGAGUGAAGAGAAGUUGAUCGAGAGAUUGUUGUUAUUAUCAACGAGAAGCAUGAGGAAGGACCAGUAACUGGCCGAGGGCCUGAGAGAGCAAGUUUUCCUGCAGUUUCCCUAUUCAGCGGAUUAGGUUUGGUUUUAGUGGGGAAUCAUGUUGGGAAGAGAGGGAGAGUCAGAAGAAGGACGUGAUGAAUCUUUGAGAGCGCGAAAGUUCUUAGAAAAAGUCCUGAUUGAGCAAGCAAGCGAUCAAUACUCUAACCCGCGGUGUACGCGCUGAUUUGCGCUCUACCCCCUCAUCCGGGAGGGGAGGGAUUCAAAUUUCCGUGUCCCUAUUUGCGCAACUUAAGUGGAGUGCCGUGGGAGGUGAGCAUUCACACUAAUGCUCCUCUUAUUUUGCGCUGCCGGUAACCGACUGUAUGAUGGUUCAGGUCAUAAAAAAAAUACUAUGAUCCUUUUUUAUAUACUUAUUUUCUUUUUUUGGGGAUUAUGUUAUGUUGGGGUUUUAUUAAGAAACUCGCACGUCGUAGGUCCCUAAGCUAGUCACCCAAGAGAUAUUUUCUCCGAUUUGUCCGUCAUCUUUGCUUUUUUUUGAUUCCGUGUGUCCCAGCGUCAAAAACACGUCCGUUGGCCAAUAGGGAUCGUGCUAAGAAUUCAAAGGAUCGUGAAAUGAUAAGACUCAAAAGUUUGGCUUGCUCCUAGCAAGUUCGCUCUAUAUUAAAACGCGCUCUAUUUAUUUCUUCUACUUGUACUUCUCACUGUUCACUGAUAUGCACAGUUAUCUUGCACCUUCUAAGUCAAGAUUACACCAUGAAAUAGAUUUGCUAAUAGCUAAUUAUCACGAUAUGUACAUUGUGUGCUUUCUAGAUCAUUAAUAAUUCAGGACUAAUUAGGAUAUGAGUAUCCAACACCCUCUCUCAUCACCAUUUGAAAUUUAAGAUAAGCGAGUCGCGAAUUUGGAAUUCAGGAUAACAUAUAUCAAACGGCUUAUGAUUACAUCAUAACCAAAUAAUAGAGUUUUUAUUGAGAAUUUUGCAAAUUAAAUAUAGGUAAAAUUUCAAAAAUUAUAUUUUAAUCUCCUUGAAGAGAGUUACACAUAACAGGCAAAAUUUUAUCCAUCCAUAGAGUGACAAUUAGGUAUUUAAAUCCUUUUUUCAGAAAAUACGAAAAUAAGACAAGAAAAUGUAAGUAAAUCUAAACAAAUGUAGCUAAUUUAUCUACAAUCACGUUGGAUGAUGUAGCAGGAACUUAAAUCACCUAUACACUCAACAAGUAGUAAACCUAUAAUAAUGUCUAACAAAAGUCUCUUUUGAGACAAAUUUAACCGUCUUUUCGAAAUAGCAACUCGUCUUAUCUUAAUAACAAGAUACCAAGUGACAUUAUAAGUGAUCAGCAUUUACAUGCUCCAUCUGGUCCUUUGUUGGCAUUUGGUGCAUCACCUAAUUUUCCCUCUUGAUGUCAUAAAUCUUGAUAGGCUUGAGUAUUUUCCACAAAAAAAAAAAGGGCUUGUGAGAAUAGAAGUUUAUGUCAUAUAUAUCUUUCCGGGCAUGGUUUCUUUUACUAAAUUAGAUCAAAUUUCUAGCAGCAAGAGAAAUAUUAGAGGAUAUGUUAUAGUAGCUUGAUUCGUCAAAUUCUUUAGUAAUUACUUUUUGCCAACUUUUUUCACGUUUUACUUGUUUUUAAUUGGUUAGUUUUUUCAUGUAUACUAUUUUUCAUAUUGCAAGGAAAAAAUUGCUAAGAAUUAGAGUAUAAGUCGAGUUGGGCAGGGGUUACGUCCAUGUUAGAUCAUAUAUGAGUUGCUUAAUGAUAUCACAUAUUAAUAGGUCAAUAUGGAUUAGAUAAUUCAACUUAUAUCGAACUUAUUUUGGACCAAUCUAAAUCCGACUUGACCCACUCGUUUGACAGAUCUAGUUAUGCUAUGGCUCUUCUUCAUAAAUGGGGCAACUCUUUGAUGUUACAUCCUUCCGUUAGAUGGAAAUACUACUAAUCCUUUCUUUUAUUAAGGCUCUCAUGCCUUUUAAACCGGUGAAGUCACGCCUUGAGAGGAGCAUCUAAUAUGAAUAGCAGACAAAGAAGCUUUAACCUCUUUUUUCUCUCAUUCGGCACCCCAAACAUUCCAAUCGCUAAUCCACAUGAAAAAAUUCAGUUUGAAACCUUAUACCUCGAUGCAUUAAAGCCCGAGAUUCAUGAGAUGCUAUAGAAGGUACUUUACCGGUAAAAAAAAUCUUCAUCCAACAAUACAUGUAGCAACUACAACGCUAGAUGUGGUCGGUCUCAGAUUGUUAUAAUGCGAUUAGUAUUGGAUUCACAUGUGUCAGGUGCAUGCCGCUCUACCUCCCCAUUAAUCAAAUCAAUUGCAUCAAAACGAUUUUGCAUCCUUUACAUUUAAAAUCAUUGCUUCUUAUUUACCAGUUAAAACCCUAUACUUCAUACGUUGAAUUUAUUGUCAAACGUAAAAAUUACACUCAGAAAUAAGUUGGCACUGUUAUUUCAUUUUCACAUUUUUGCUUUUCUUUGGAUAUACCUGUACCACCAUUUUAAUUCCCAACCAUCCUAACUCACAACAUCUUAAUCCUCAGCAGCUUUCCUCCCUUCCCUAUGUUCGUAGCCGCCACAAGCCCUGUUGCGUGCCCAGCCAAAGGAACUCACGGCUCCCUCCACCACUAUGUUAGUGCCGCCACUAACUUUUGGCCCCUCCUCUACCUCUCAGCAACGCAAAAACUCGGCGAAACCCAACCCAUGAAACCUUAUAAUCAAGACAAGAGGUCUUGAAGGACCUGGAGUCCAAGUUAUCCGACCCCAAUCGGGGUUGUGGGUGUGAGAGAGACGAGGAGGAGGAGAUGACGGGGAAGGGGGGUAACGACGACCAUCGUCAUCGGCACGGAUUGCAGUCCUCAUGGGAAAAGAUAUAGGAAGGAGUGAUGAAUUUGCCUCCCCUAAGAGUACCAUUUUUGUGAAGGUCGAAGAGGGUUUUUGGUAAUUAGAAAAGAACAUGUUCAUUGAACAUUAAUUUUCUUUUAUUUUUUCGUUUUUGGCUAAAAGAAGCAAUUGGCAUAUCAAAAUCAUAUUCAGUUAAUAAAACCCCGACUGUGUAUCUUCUGAAUUUGACAACUUGAUUUAAUUUAUAAAAAAAAAAAAUUGUAACAUGUCGACCCAAAAAAACAUAUUUGAAAUGAUCGGGAUGCUCCUCUUGUUUCCUUCUUCUUCUUCUUUUCCUUUUUAAAUUUUCGCUUUGUGAGGGGGUAAAAUAAAGAAAAUGAAUUUUGCUAGAAACUUUAUUAAAUCGGUCUCACGACGUACAUUCAUUCUCAUGUAAAGACAGGAGUCCAUCUUCAACUAAGUUUUAGUCUGGACGUCUGCGUGGGAGCCUGACUUUGACAUUGACCAGCAAAGGAUUCAAGGAAUCGAUCAACCGUGUCUUGGCUCUGUACAAUCAACCAAUAAGGCUAAUCUUUUUUACCAGAUCCACUAGUUAGGUCCUUCUUCUACGGCAGUGCCCCACCGGGCCCAUUGCCAUGUGAAGGUAAAACCAUCCCUUUCCUUCCCUUGUUCGUUAAUGCACCCUAAACGAAAACACCCAUUCAUCCUCUAAUUCUUAGUAUUUUAUAUCGCAGAUAAUAACACAAAUAAUCCAUAAAUUUUGACCAAAUUUGUAAUAUAGUCCUCGAACUUUUAAUUGUUCAUUUUAGUUCCCUGAACUUUUCACGCAAAUUAAAUAUAGUCAUUGAAUUAUAUAAAAAUAUUCAAUAUAGUAUUUUCAUUAAUUCAAGAUCAAGAGUAACAUUGAACAUUUUCAUAUAGCCUAAAGACUAAAUUGAACAUGUUUCAAAAGUUUAGAGAUUAAAUUACGUAUUUGGCUAAAAUUCGUUAACAAUAUUGAACAAGUUAAAAGUUUAAAAAUCACAUUGCAUAUUGAGUUAAAUUUCGGAGAUCAAUUUGUAUAAUUUUCUCAUUUGCCAUCCUUGACUCUGAGACAUGUUAAUUUAUCUAUUCAGCUUUCAGGGGGAGGAAGUGGGUCAUAAGCAUAACGUGCCAUGAGAAAGUUUACUGUUCACUUGCUUCAAGCCAGUCAAAUUCGAAGAGAAUAUUUGAAGACAUUUAGAAAUCAGGGGACCACUGAACUGAUUAGGAUACAUGCCCACGUGCACCUAGAAAAUUCUACCCCCUAUCACACGUCUCUCUCUUUUCUUCUUCUCUCUAUACGGUCGUUUCCUUCCUCCACCCCUUCGCCUCCAUUCUUGAUCUGCAACUUGAAACCAUGGCCACCACCCCACACACAAUCUCUCUCUUUCCCCACCAAAAGAACGAAGAAGAAGAAACUGAGAGGGAGUAAAGGAAAAACAGAGGGGGAGGAAGAAAAAAAUUGACGUUUUUCCAUGUGGCGCGAUUAGGUCUGUAGAGGAAUAAUAAGGAACACCACUCGGCGAACGAAGUCCGGAAAGCAGCAGCCGAACAAGGCUGCCGCGCCAGCAGCUAAUUUGUGCCAUUGUAAAAAUAAGAGCGUGCAGUAGGCGAUACUUACACCGACUAGUACCAGAAUGACUCACGGAGCCUGCAGAUUUUAGAUCUGCACAUUAUCUCGGUUUACCAUGAGGUAAGGAAGAAAAUCAGGAAACUAAACCAGGAGUCUCAUCGCCCACCUGAGAGAAGCGAUUCUGCAACAGAAGAUGAGUACGCCAAAUUGUCGAAACCUUCACGAUGACCAACUGUUGACCCGGCAGACGAAAUGCCGAUGGACGAUAAUUCAGGCAUCGGAAGAUCGCCCUCCAAGUACUGCAAUACUUGACGCACGCUUGGCCUCAUCAACGGAUUGGCGUGGGAACACAUCAACCCGAGUUUCAGCACCAACUCCAUCUCUUCUUCCACAAACUCCAACCCCAAUUUCGGAUCUCUUGCCUCGAGAAUUGCACCUCUGUCCCAGCAAGAAAAUACCCAGUCCAAUAAGAUCACGUCCUCCGUGUCCCCACGCUUUAUCGGCCUUCUCCCGCAGGCGACCUCGAGCAAAAACACCCCAAACGCAAACACGUCGGUGCUCCUAGUGGCCUUGCCGGUUCGCACGUGCUCGGGGGCGAGGUAACCUAUCGUUCCCGCAACAUGAGUCGUUUGAGGGUCAGUUCCAUGAUCGUGUAGUCUCGCGAGCCCAAAAUCUCCAAGUCUUCCAUUAAAUUCAGUGUCCAGCAAGAUGUUGCUCGCCUUUAUAUCCCUGUGUAUCACCACUUGCUCCCACCCUUCAUGCAGAUAAAGCAGCCCAGAUGCCACUCCUUUGAUUACCCUUAGUCUUUGCAUCCAAUUGAGGGUGACCUUUGGUUGGUUAUAGAGGUAUUUGUCGAGGCUUCCAUUGGGCAUGUAGUCAUAAACCAAGAGCAACUCCCUUUUCCGGCGGCAGUAACCGAGGAGCGCCACCAAGUUGCGAUGACGGAGCCGACCAAUGGUAAUAAUCUCCGCUACAAAUUCUCUCAUGCCUUGCUUCGAUUCAUGGGAGACCGUCUUCACCGCAAUCUCUAAAUUCGAUAUGGGUAAGAUUCCUCUAUAGACCUGGCCGAACCCGCCAGCCCCUAAUAACUCUUGGUCCUGGAAUCCUUUUGUAGCAAUGUAAAGAUCUUUGUACUUGAACCGGUGCGGGCCGUAUUCCCUCUCCCAAUCUUCAAGGACCUCGGCCAAUUUCCUUUUCCUUCUUAUCACGUAAACUGCGCCCAAGAUCAGCACCGAUACAACGAAAAGAACCAUCAGUGGUAACCCGAUAGUCAGUACUUUCGAUGUCUCCUUACCGAUCUGAGGAAGCUUAGGAAGUCGGGACAGGUCAAGUGCCUGAGCCUCUCCAUUCACACUGAAGCUCCAACCCAGAACAUAGUAAGAAGCUACGAGCGAACCAGCCGAUGCUGAGAAGCCCACAUACAUGUUCUCGUUGAUGAUUGGUGAGAGAUCCCAUGGAAGAGACAGAAGGG
rnacentral:lncRNA from 1 species